UGGUGAUGUUGUAGCUGAUCUGGUUAGGUCCUGUGAUGGUGUCGCUGGUGUAAAUAUGUGGGCAGAGUUGGCAUCGAGCUUUGUUGCUGAAUUCCCCCGGGGUAAAGGAUAUUGACUUUUGAAGGAGAUGCUAAAAUGAGAAGCUGUGACCAAGUUCUGUCAUAGACCAGGCAGUGCCCUGAGUGAUCCAGAAGCUGGUGCUUCCUUAAAAUGCCUGCAAGGUGUGAUCAUCCAACAGUUCCCCUUUCAGGAAGAUGAUUGCCAUAUUACACGCCUCCACCCUGCUCCCUACACUGACGUAUCACCCUGUGUGGUGUUUGAGGAGGGAGGAACUGAAGAGAGAUUCAGUAUUUGCUGGGCAGAAGAUGGCCCACUCUUCAGUUGAUCUGCCUGAGACUGGGAAGUUGGAGAUGAAGAAGAUCUCUGUCUAGACUAGACGUGAUAAAUCGACCCCUGCUGGAUCGAUCACUGCCCACUGAUCCGACAGUUACCAGCCAGGCAGCAUUUGGGAGCGAGGGUCCUUUUAAAGUCCCGGAGAAUCUGAAGGAAGGUUUCCAGCAUCCCGAACUCUCCCAGAGUGGCAAAGAUGUGAUGGUGGGGUAUGGACCCAAAGGCAUUGGCCAGGUGGAGCCAUGCUACGGCGCACUGCCUCCUGGACCUCCUGGCUGCUGGGUGUCAACGUUCUCGCCGUUGUCAGCCUUCGCCAGCUCCUUUGUCCAGGCGGUUUGGCACGACGUGGUGCCCCUCGCUCGCGGCCGUCGCUCCUCCUGCUGUACUGUCUCCGCAGGUUCAGGUGCUGCGGGGACAAUCUGCGGCCUCGUUGUCUCUCGGAGUGGGGAGUGGUGUUCAGGCGGA